CAAAUGAACUGUUAGGUGAGACUCCUACGUGAACAUAUGCUGAUGCCCAGCAACAUCUAGAGAUGCCAACGAGUAAAACAAGAAUGGUCGAUACAAGGCUUUUCUCAGUCAGCUAAUUUAACCAAUUUACGUCACGUAGUGUUAAAACUGAACGACGAGUAAAAAUC
rfam:Lactobacillus amylolyticus DSM 11664 contig00010, whole genome shotgun sequence.